AAAGCCCACCCUGCAAUGGGAAAAAGUGUUUCAGAGCCAAAAGAAGAUUAGAAGUAUGUUCAUGUAACUAAGGUCAAGUAAAAAAGAAUACAUAUAACUAAGGUCAAGUGAAAAGAAAUGCAACUCCUAGUUUCACAGCUAAUAAUGCAUUUUCAAACGGAAUGGCUAGAAAUUGUACACAUUGUAAAUCUCUGCAGCAGUAUGGGCCAUAAUUUCAAAGGGAUCAUAAGAUAAAUUGAAAAAAAAUCAUGAAAUAUACUGGGGAAGAAAUUCAGAAAUCAAGCUGAAGACAUAAAACAGUCUCAAUUGGUUUCAGAAACUGAAACUUCAAAACGCAGUUGCCGUUCAAAUGAAGUAACUUAGUCAAUUUAUUCUCACCAAGUCCAACAGCUUGAAA
rnacentral:misc_RNA from 1 species